CAAGAAACGAGGCUACGUGCCCCGCUCUUUACCUUGCCUACUGCACUAUCUGUUGCUUCCCGGCGGCGGACUGCCCGCCGCCAGGGACGUUGAUACAAUCCUGUAUAGAAGCAUUGAAGCUCUGAGAAAACGCGAAAUCGUA
rnacentral:misc_RNA from 1 species